GACGAACGCUGGCGGCGUGCUUAACACAUGCAAGUCGAACGGAAAGGCCCUGCUUUUGUGGGGUGCUCGAGUGGCGCACGGGUGUGUAACACGUGAGUAACCUGCCCUUGACUUUGGGAUAACUUCAGGAAACUGGGGCUAAUACCGGCUACGAGCUCCUGCUGCAUGGUGGGGGUUGGAAAGUUUAGGCGGUUGGGGAUGGACUCGGGGUUUAUCAGCUUGUUGGUGGGGUAGUGGCUUACCAAGGCUUUGACGGGUAGCCGGCCUGGGAGGGGGACCGGCGACAUUGGGACUGAGGUAGGGCCCAGACUCCUACGGGGGGCAGCAGUGGGGAGUAUUGCACAAUGGGCGGAAGCCUGAUGCAGCGGCGCCGCGUGCGGGAUGACGGCCUUCGGGUUGUAAACCGCUUUCGGCUGUGACGAAGCGUGAGUGACGGUAAUGGGUAAAGAAGCACCGGCUAACUACGUG
rnacentral:rRNA from 1 species